UACGGAGGGUGCGAGCGUUGUCCGGAAUCACUGGGCGUAAAGGGCGCGUAGGCGGUCCGAUAAGUCGGUUGUGAAAGUCCAGGGCUCAACCCUGGGAUGCCGACCGAUACUGUCGGACUAGAGUUCGGAAGAGGCGAGUGGAAUUCCCGGUGUAGCGGUGAAAUGCGCAGAUAUCGGGAGGAACACCUAUGGCGAAGGCAGCUCGCUGGGACGUUACUGACGCUGAGACGCGAAAGCGUGGGGAGCAAACAGG
rnacentral:rRNA from 1 species